GACGAACGCUGGCGGCGUGCCUAAUACAUGCAAGUCGAGCGAAGUUUUUCUGGUGCUUGCACUAGAAAAACUUAGCGGCGAACGGGUGAGUAACACGUAAAGAACCUGCCUCAUAGACUGGGACAACUAUUGGAAACGAUAGCUAAUACCGGAUAACAGUAUUUCUCGCAUGAGAGAUAUUUAGAAGUUGGUUAUGCUAACACUAUGAGAUGGCUUUGCGGUGCAUUAGCUAGUUGGUGGGGUAAAGGCCCACCAAGGCGACGAUGCAUAGCCGACCUGAGAGGGUGAUCGGCCACACUGGGACUGAGACACGGCCCAGACUCCUACGGGAGGCAGCAGUAGGGAAUCUUCCGCAAUGGGCGAAAGCCUGACGGAGCAACGCCGCGUGAGUGAAGAAGGAUUUCGGUUCGUAAAGCUCUGUUGUUACGGAAGAAUGGAUAUGUAGUAACUAUACAUGUAAGAGACGGUACCUAACCAGAAAGCCACGGCUAACUACGUG
rnacentral:rRNA from 1 species